CAUAAAUGUGGGGUUUCCUACAAAUAGUACUUGCAAUUAAAUGACUUAUUUUUAAUAAUAUUGGAAGGAU
rnacentral:tRNA from 1 species